rnacentral:rRNA from 1 species
GAUGAACGCUAGCUACAGGCUUAACACAUGCAAGUCGAGGGGAAACGAUAUUGGAAGCUUGCUUCUGAUAGGCGUCGACCGGCGCACGGGUGAGUAACGCGUAUCCAACCUGCCCAUCACUUGGGGAUAACCUUGUGAAAGUAAGACUAAUACCCAAUGACGUCUCUAGAAGACAUCUGAAAGAGAUUAAAGAUUUAUCGGUGAUGGAUGGGGAUGCGUCUGAUUAGCUUGUUGGCGGGGUAACGGCCCACCAAGGCGACGAUCAGUAGGGGUUCUGAGAGGAAGGUCCCCCCACAUUGGAACUGAGACACGGUCCAAACUCCUACGGGAGCAGCAGUGAGGAAUAUUGGUCAAUGGACGAGAGUCUGAACCAGCCAAGUAGCGUGCAGGAUGACGGCCCUAUGGGUUGUAAACUGCUUUUAUAAGGGAUAAAGUGGGAGUCGUGACUCUUUUUGCAUGUACCUUAUGAAUAAGGACCGGCUAAAUUCCGUGCCAGCAGCCG